rnacentral:rRNA from 1 species
GCCGGCCAUGCCACCCUGAAAAAGCCCGAUGUCGGAUCUGAGAAGCUAAGCAGGGUCAUGACUGGUUAGUACUUGGAUGGAAGACCACCUAGAAAGACCAGGUGCUGUAGGCA